UARMGCGUGGAWAACCUGCCMUGGUGUCUGGGAUAACAUCUCGAAAGGGGUGCUAAUACCGGAUAAGCCCWCGGAMUCUUCGGAGCCUGCGGGAAAAGGUGGCCUCUAUUUAUAAGCUACCGCAUCAAGAUGGGUCCGCGUACCAUUAGCUARWAGGUGGGGUAAGGGCCUAMCAAGGCGACGAAGGUUAGCUGGUCUGAGAGGAUGAUCAGCCACUCUGGAACUGACACACGGUCCAGACUCCUACGGGAGGCAGCAGUGAGGAAUUUUGCGCAAUGGGGGCAACCCUGACGCAGCAACGCCGCGUGAGUGAUGAAGGCCUUUGGGUCGUAAAACUCUGUCAGCAGGAAAGAAGUUACAUGUGGUUAAUACCCAUGUGUAUUGACGGUACCUGCAAAGGAAGCACCGGCUAACUCCGUGCCAGCAGCCGCGGUAAUACAAGGGYKAAWUSK
rnacentral:rRNA from 1 species